CACGAAGGGGGCUAGCGUUGCUCGGAAUCACUGGGCGUAAAGCGCACGUAGGCGGCUUGUUAAGUCAGGGGUGAAAUCCUGGAGCUCAACUCCAGAACUGCCUUUGAUACUGGCGAGCUUGAGUUCGGGAGAGGUGAGUGGAACUGCGAGUGUAGAGGUGAAAUUCGUAGAUAUUCGCAAGAACACCAGUGGCGAAGGCGGCUCACUGGCCCGAUACUGACGCUGAGGUGCGAAAGCGUGGGGAGCAAACAGG
rnacentral:rRNA from 1 species